AUUGAACGCUGGCGGCAUGCCUUACACAUGCAAGUCGAACGGCAGCACGGGAGCAAUCCUGGUGGCGAGUGGCGAACGGGUGAGUAAUAUAUCGGAACGUGCCCAGUCGUGAGGGAUAACGUAGCGAAAGCUACGCUAAUACCGCAUACGAUCUAUGGAUGAAAGCGGGGGAUCGCAAGACCUCGCGCGAUUGGAGCGGCCGAUAUCAGAUUAGGUAGUUGGUGAGGUAAAGGCUCACCAAGCCGACGAUCUGUAGCUGGUCUGAGAGGACGACCAGCCACACUGGGACUGAGACACGGCCCAGACUCCUACGGGAGGCAGCAGUGGGGAAUUUUGGACAAUGGGCGCAAGCCUGAUCCAGCAAUGCCGCGUGCAGGAUGAAGGCCUUCGGGUUGUAAACUGCUUUUGUACGGAACGAAACGGCGAGCUCUAAUACAGUUUGCUAAUGACGGUACCGUAAGAAUAAGCACCGGCUAACUACGUGCCAGCAGCCGCCGCCG
rnacentral:rRNA from 1 species